rnacentral:lncRNA from 1 species
UGAUACGUACGUGUACAUAUGAACAGUUCCUCGAGAUUCAAAAACAUUCACAAGGCGCGAACCAUGUUCACUGAUAAUUACUAAACGAAUGAUAUUUUUGACGAGAAUCAUGUGACACUUUCAAAACAGGUGUACCUGAUCUUUUCCUUCAUCAUUUAUUAUCUCAUAACACACACACAAUAAUACCAAUUCUUCUCAUCAUCAUCAUCAUAUAUAUAUAAACACUUGCUCCACCUUUUUUUGUUAUCAUACUUCUUCACACACUACACAACAUACGUAGUCUUCUCUCCAUAUAGCUCAUCUUCUUCUAGAAACUUCUCUUUUUGGAAACCCUCUGUCUCAACCAGAACGUUUUAGCUUUGUUAUAUAUAAAAAGAUGGCGAAGAAGUUUCUCCGGACGUUAAUGUUAAGCGUCGUCAUAGUCUUCGCCGCGUGUUCUUUGGUCGUUAACUCCAUUCGCACGCCGCCACUAAGUCCGUCACAUCAGUAUCUUUUUAAUUACUUUUUCUUUGUUAUUAUUAUAUUUACUUAAUGAUUUUUUAUAUAUAUUAAUGAACUUUAUAUUUUUGGUAUUUUGUAGAAGAUACGGUCAAUGGCGGAGAUAAGAAAAACGCCGAUGUAGAACAAUCUCAAACUCACCACCACCACAAGGUAGGUUAGGUGCACUUUACAUAGAAAAAAAUUGAUAUAUAUAUAUAUGUAUCCUUAAAGAUCAAAUUUAAUAUUACACACUUUUUUCUAAAUAUAGCAACCGCCUUUGAUUUUUCAGAUAAAUUAAUGGCAGCAAACCGUGUUUUUCUUUUCAUCCUCUUAAUUAAUUAUGGAUUUAUUGUGUUUUUUUAUGGUGACAAAAAUAAAAUAUUUAUAAUGUUUCGAUUUCGGAUCGGAUUCGGUUCAAAAUUUUUCGGAUUCGGAUAAUUCGGAUUGGAGAUUGUACUAUAUAUUUGGUUUUUUUUAAUGAUAAUUUGGUUUGAAUAGAUGUUGGAUUCGGAUCGGUUUUAUGAGAAAUAAAACUAAGAUUUUUUUCAAUUGUAAUGGAAAAUGGUUUCAUUUGUAAAAAUAUUUGGUUAAAUUUUAUAACAAAAGUAGCUUAACUGUUUUGGAUUUAGGCAAUUUCGGGCAUUUUGCUUUUCCUUAGGUAUAAAAUUAUAACUAUAUAUAGUAAAGAUUUUUUAUAUAAGUUUUUUUAGAUUUUCGUCGGAUCAAGUUUUUUUUUUAUCAUUAUUAUUAUUUCUUAUACGGAUCAAGUUCGAUUCAAGUAAUUCGGAUAAAAAAUUAUCAUACGUUCAGGUUUUAUAACUAUUUGGUUUGAAUAUGUAACCAUAUUAUUUGUAUUAGUUUCUGAUUAGUUGUCAAAUAUCUGAUUUUAUGUCUGGUCUUAAAAGUUAUUGUAUAUUUAUUUUUCUAGGUGAAAAAAGAAAUAACCAAAAAAGGAGGGGUAGAAAUGGAAAUGUAUCCGACAGGAUCGAGUUUACCGGAUUGUUCAUACGCGUGUGGUCCGUGCUCGCCAUGUAAACGUGUGAUGAUUAGUUUCCAAUGCUCCGUCGCCGAGUCAUGUAGCGUCAUCUACAGAUGCACGUGCAGAGGACGAUACUAUCACGUGCCUUCUAGAGCUUAAUUAAAU